rnacentral:rRNA from 1 species
GCCUUCGGCCUUAGUAGCGCAGCUAACGCGUGAAGUUGACCGCCUGGGGAGUACGGUCGCAAGAUUAAAACUCAAAGGAAUUGACGGGGACCCGCACAAGCGGUGGAUGAUGUGGAUUAAUUCGAUGCAACGCGAAAAACCUUACCUACCCUUGACAUGUCUGGAAUCCCGAAGAGAUUUGGGAGUGCUCGCAAGAGAACCGGAACACAGGUGCUGCAUGGCUGUCGUCAGCUCGUGUCGUGAGAUGUUGGGUUAAGUCCCGCAACGAGCGCAACCCUUGUCAUUAGUUGCUACGAAAGGGCACUCUAAUGAGACUGCCGGUGACAAACCGGAGGAAGGUGGGGAUGACGUCAAGUCCUCAUGGCCCUUAUGGGUAGGGCUUCACACGUCAUACAAUGGUGCAUACAGAGGGUUGCCAACCCGCGAGGGGGAGCUAAUCUCAGAAAAUGCAUCGUAGUCCGGAUCGUGGUCUGCAACUCGACUACGUGAAGCUGGAAUCGCUAGUAAUCGCGGAUCAGAAUGUCGCGGUGAAUACGUUCCCGGGUCUUGUACACACCGCCCGUCAUACCAUGGGAGUGGGUUUUGCCAGAAGCCGUUAGCCUAACCGCAAGGAGGGCGACUGCCACGGCAGGGUUCAUGACUGGGGUAAAGUCGUAACAAGGUAGCCGUAUCGGAAGGUGC